AUUGAACGCUGGCGGCAUGCUUUACACAUGUAAGUCGAACGGCAGCACGGGGGCAACCCUGGUGGCGGGUGGCGAACGGGUGAGUAAUGCAUCGGAACGUGCCCUGUCGUGGGGGGUAACACAUCGAAAGAUGUGCUAAUACCGCAUACGACCUGAGGGUGAAAGCGGGGGACCGUAAGGCCUCGCGCGAUAGGAGCGGCCGAUGUCUGAUUAGCUAGUUGGUGGGGUAAAGGCCUACCAAGGCGACGAUCAGUAGCUGGUCUGAGAGGACGACCAGCCACACUGGGACUGAGACACGGCCCAGACUCCUACGGGAGGCAGUAGUGGGGAAUUUUGGACAAUGGGGGCAACCCUGAUCCAGCCAUGCCGCGUGCGGGAAGAAGGCCUUCGGGUUGUAAACCGCUUUUGGCAGGAACGAAACGGUGCGGGCGAAUACCCUGUGCUAAUGACGGUACCUGCAGAAUAAGCACCGGCUAACUACGUGCCAGCCGCCGCGGUAAGAC
rnacentral:rRNA from 1 species